rnacentral:rRNA from 4 species
AAAUUGAAGAGUUUGAUCAUGGCUCAGAUUGAACGCUGGCGGCAGGCCUAACACAUGCAAGUCGAACGGUAACAGGAAGCAGCUUGCUGCUUUGCUGACGAGUGGCGGACGGGUGAGUAAUGUCUGGGAAACUGCCUGAUGGAGGGGGAUAACUACUGGAAACGGUAGCUAAUACCGCAUAACGUCGCAAGACCAAAGAGGGGGACCUUCGGGCCUCUUGCCAUCGGAUGUGCCCAGAUGGGAUUAGCUAGUAGGUGGGGUAACGGCUCACCUAGGCGACGAUCCCUAGCUGGUCUGAGAGGAUGACCAGCCACACUGGAACUGAGACACGGUCCAGACUCCUACGGGAGGCAGCAGUGGGGAAUAUUGCACAAUGGGCGCAAGCCUGAUGCAGCCAUGCCGCGUGUAUGAAGAAGGCCUUCGGGUUGUAAAGUACUUUCAGCGGGGAGGAAGGUGUUGAGGUUAAUAACCUCAGCAAUUGACGUUACCCGCAGAAGAAGCACCGGCUAACUCCGUGCCAGCAGCCGCGGUAAUACGGAGGGUGCAAGCGUUAAUCGGAAUUACUGGGCGUAAAGCGCACGCAGGCGGUCUGUCAAGUCGGAUGUGAAAUCCCCGGGCUCAACCUGGGAACUGCAUUCGAAACUGGCAGGCUAGAGUCUUGUAGAGGGGGGUAGAAUUCCAGGUGUAGCGGUGAAAUGCGUAGAGAUCUGGAGGAAUACCGGUGGCGAAGGCGGCCCCCUGGACAAAGACUGACGCUCAGGUGCGAAAGCGUGGGGAGCAAACAGGAUUAGAUACCCUGGUAGUCCACGCCGUAAACGAUGUCGACUUGGAGGUUGUGCCCUUGAGGCGUGGCUUCCGGAGCUAACGCGUUAAGUCGACCGCCUGGGGAGUACGGCCGCAAGGUUAAAACUCAAAUGAAUUGACGGGGGCCCGCACAAGCGGUGGAGCAUGUGGUUUAAUUCGAUGCAACGCGAAGAACCUUACCUACUCUUGACAUCCAGAGAACUUUCCAGAGAUGGAUUGGUGCCUUCGGGAACUCUGAGACAGGUGCUGCAUGGCUGUCGUCAGCUCGUGUUGUGAAAUGUUGGGUUAAGUCCCGCAACGAGCGCAACCCUUAUCCUUUGUUGCCAGCGGUUAGGCCGGGAACUCAAAGGAGACUGCCAGUGAUAAACUGGAGGAAGGUGGGGAUGACGUCAAGUCAUCAUGGCCCUUACGAGUAGGGCUACACACGUGCUACAAUGGCGCAUACAAAGAGAAGCGACCUCGCGAGAGCAAGCGGACCUCAUAAAGUGCGUCGUAGUCCGGAUUGGAGUCUGCAACUCGACUCCAUGAAGUCGGAAUCGCUAGUAAUCGUGGAUCAGAAUGCCACGGUGAAUACGUUCCCGGGCCUUGUACACACCGCCCGUCACACCAUGGGAGUGGGUUGCAAAAGAAGUAGGUAGCUUAACCUUCGGGAGGGCGCUUACCACUUUGUGAUUCAUGACUGGGGUGAAGUCGUAACAAGGUAACCGUAGGGGAACCUGCGGUUGGAUCACCUCCUUACCUUAAAGAA